rnacentral:rRNA from 1 species
UACAGAGGGUGCAAGCGUUGUUCGGAAUUAUUGGGCGUAAAGCGCGUGUAGGCGGCUUUGCAAGUCGGGUGUGAAAGCCCUCAGCUUAACUGAGGAAGUGCGCCCGAAACUGCAGAGCUUGAGUACCGGAGAGGAUGGUGGAAUUCCCCAAGUAGAGGUGAAAUUCGUAGAUAUGGGGAGGAACGCCGGUGGCGAAGGCGACCAUCUGGACGGAUACUGACGCUGAGACGCGAAAGCGUGGGGAGCAAACAGG